rnacentral:lncRNA from 1 species
GGUGCUCAGAAAACAGGCAACCUAGCAGAGCUAUGCUAAUCAGCAUUCACUUUCAGGGAGACUGGAUUCACGUACAGUUAAAACCCAGGGUUCUGCAUCUACUCUCAAAAAUGCAUGAGGAAUGGCAACAAGUCCACAGUCGUGGAGGAAUGAUAGAAGAGGAAUGAUAAUGAACUCUAAAACUUAUUGAAGGAGCCAUUAAUCAGUAAUCAAGAAUGCUGGCAUGUUUAUGGCUAAAGAUCUAAAGCUAAGGGGACAGCAAAGUAUAUUUGAAGUCAUACAUAUGUAAGUGUAAAUUGAACACAUAAGUGAAAAUAAACUUCCUAAAAGAAGGAGUAAGAAGUGAGAGAGAUGAAGACAGGAUUCAGGGAAGUAUCUACAUAUGCCAUACACAUAGAUGGAGACCAUUUAAUGAAGAUAUAAUCGUCUUCCAAAAUAUAAAAAAAGAUAAGAAGAAUAUUUCAAAGAACAGAAGACGGCUUUUUGUUGACCCAGUUCUACUCUCAGCCUCUCCAGUCUACUUUCAGAUCAUACCACCCAAAGCAAGAGAGUCACUGACAGCCAAGGACCAUAAUGUUGACCUUAGAACAGAGUAAAAAUAAUUGAUUGCCAUGAAGAAUCAAACUCCUGGUCGUCGAAGCAAAAAUAACUAACCAACUAUAGACACCCUUUCUAGACUCAUCCCAAAUUUCUAGUUUAACUACUCAUUUCCUUCAGUUCCUUUUGAUAUGCAAAGCAACCAGUUAAAGAUUUUAAUUGACAUUUUCAAGAAGAAGUCAUUGAAUAUCACUUGAAGUCUUCAAAUUGAACUGAUAGAAAAUUAAUCCUGUGGAAACUAGAAAAGCUGUUUUACAUGUGGCAUGGAAAAAAGACAGUCUCAGGUUUUACUUAGGCU